UAGGGAAUAUUAGAAAUGGACGAAAGUCUGAUCUAGCAACACCGCGUGCGCGAAGAAGGCCUUCGGGUUGUAAAGCACUUUUUGGAAGGAUUAGGAAGGAAUGUACUUCCAGAAUAAGUCUCGGCUAACUACGUGCCAGCAGCCGCGGUAACACGUAGGAGGCAAACGUUAUCCGGAUUUACUGGGCGUAAAGCGCGUGUAGGUGGUUCUGUAAGUAGGGCGUGAAAGCUCCUGGCUCAACUGGGAGAGGCCGUUCUAAACUGCAGAGCUACAGGAUGGUAGAGGGAGGUGGAAUUCCGGGUGUAGCGGUGGAAUGCGCAGAUAUCCGGAGGAACACCAGUGGCGAAAGCGGCCUCCUGGACCAUUCCUGACACUCAGACGCGAAAGCUAGGGUAGCAAACG
rnacentral:rRNA from 1 species